UAUUCCAAGCUUUUUUCCAAAUGUCAAUUAUUAUAAGACUACAAAAAAUCGCAUCGUAUUAAUAAUUGCGUUCAUGUGUGUUACUAAACAGCGGUAGCAAGAAAAAAGGAUUUUAAUUUUUUAAUCUAUUGAUGCCAUUGCAGUAUUUUUUGUUUCUCUUCGUACUGCAACUCGUCGAUGAAUAUUCCCUGUAAAUGAACAAGAAGAGAACAUCCUUUUACGCCGAAUACAUUAACUUAAUCUCCUCAAAAAGUUGCACAAUAUCAAAAGGGUAAAGUUUACUAAUGUUUACUCCUGCCAGCUUAGCUGACACUACAAAAUUAAAAUGAUUGUCGAAUUAAAGAAAUAUACGUUCAACUUAAACGCCGGAUGUCCGUUUGCUGGUCGUCACCUGUGAUAGGUCAUCACCAUUUACAUGCGUACGCUAAUUCGCGAAAACACAAGAACGAUAUGCAAGUUAAUGUAGCAGGAUUACGCCGCAAUAUAAAAAACUUGGCUCACAAUUAUUCUGAUGCUCAGGUCAAAGUACGCGAAGCGACUUCUAAUGAUCCAUGGGGUCCAUCAGCCACCAUAAUGGCAGAAAUCGCUGAUCUGACCUACAACGUUGUGGCUUUUUCCGAAAUUAUGCAAAUGAUAUGGAAACGUUUGAAUGAUCAUGGCAAAAACUGGCGCCAUGUUUAUAAAGCUUUGAUUCUCUUGGAAUACUUGAUAAAGACCGGGACUGAAAAGGUGGCAGUGCAAUGCAAGGAGAAUAUAUUUGCAAUACAAACUCUCCGCGAAUUCGUACACUUUGAGGAGGGGAAGGAUCAGGGAACUCACGUACGUGAGAAAGCUAAACAACUGGUUAUUUUGCUAAAGGAUGACGAGCGUCUAAAAAAUGAACGUAUUAAAGCACUGAAAGCUAAAGAACGUUUCGCUCAACAUCCCAGUGGCUUUGGAAGCGAUGGCUACAUAGACGGUCCCACGCACAGAGAUAUGCCACCCGGCUGGCAAGAUGAGCCUAAUAAAUCAGUAUCAGAUCUUGAACUAGUGCGGCCACAAACUGCUGGUGAAGAAGAGCUACAGCUCCAACUAGCUAUGGCUAUGUCUCGCGAAGAAGCUGAACAAGAAGAAGCUAAACGUCGCAGUGAUGAUGUGCGUUUGCAGUUGGCUUUAAGCCAAAGUGAACAGGAUUUCAAGCAGCAGAAGCAACAAAAAGAAGAACCGCAAAGUCAUUUGUUAGACUUGUUGGAUAUUUCUUUGGGCGCAACGAGUCUUUCGAACUCAUCUCUUGGGCCGACCGGAAGUAACGUAACGAAUAUUGAUCUUUGGCCAACAGGAAUUGCAAGUCAACUCUCCGAUCCCUGGACCAGCACCGUCUCACCUCCUAUUGACCCAUGGUUACCAUCCGGAUCGUCACGUAACAUAUCUGUAACUAACACUGAGAUAGGUGCAUUAGAUGGAAUAGCAGUGACCAUAGCAGCUACCAAUGGGGUUUCUCAUACUUGGGGUAUACGUACACAAUCACCGUCUGUUACUUCAGGCUCUUCAGCGGAAGGCUGGUUGCAAUCCAAUGGGCUUGACGACAAUACUCAACAACCCAUCCCUGCUGCGGACAAUUCAGAUCCGUGGUUAGCAAAAUGUACUGCUCGAUCUCCAAUAGCCGUAACUGUAAACCAAAGUGUCUUAAUGGAUCCUUGGUUAACGUCAGGGACUACAAAAGCAACAGCGAGCCCUGCUGCCACAAUAAAAAGUUUAUCUUUAGAUGAUCCUUGGACACCCAAACCUGCAUUAGCUAGUUCUCUAGCUCUUGCAGAUUCUUGGGGGCAUAAUGAUAAUACUCCAAUUAAGAAACCAUCACCUGACUUGGACGAAUUCGACAUUAUAACAAAUCGUAAUAAGACUGCAAAUUUAUUAUCAGUUGAAAAACCUACUAAUAACGCGACUAAUAAUAAUGUCCCUCUAAUAGAUAAAUUGGACUUUUUGCCGUCCGCAAAUGUCCCAUCAAUAAGUACAUCUGGACUAGAAGCAAAUACAAGGAAACCUCUAAAAACUCCUCAGGCAUUUUUGGGUGAGAAUUCAGCUUUAGUCAAUUUAGAUAAUCUAAUUAAACCUGCUGCGCCGCAACCGGCUGGAAAUACAUCAGCCUACAAUCCAUUCAGUGAUACUAUUAUUCCAUCAAAAUCAAACCUUUUCCAACAACAACAACCUUCCGGACCAUCCAUAAAUCAACUAAAACAACAACCUUUUGCUGUAAACAUGAGCCAAGAUCCGUGGGCACCUAUCGUUAAUUCAAAUUUAGAAACAACACAGGCAACUCAAAUUCAUUAGCUUUCCGAAAAAGGUGUUAUCCUAAUAUGUAACGAGCUUAUCAACUAAUAAAAAAAACGGCUGUGUAGCUUCGUUACAAAUAUCUACUGGUAGCCAUUUUUUCUGAUUAGUGAAUUCAUCGAUUAAUUCUUUAAUAAUGUAUUUCGGAUGACUCAGUUAAACGCUACAUUAAUAUUUUUUGAAAUUCUUAACUAAGCAUAUGACUGAAUUAUUUUGUUUGAUAUCUUAUAGCCAUCAGCGGAAGCUUGGACUCUUAAAUAAAAUGAAUAAUAAUAAUAUGUCGUGGGUAAAGAUGGAGACAGUGGCAUCGAAUCCAUUCUUGUCAUAAAUAUAUAAAUGGUAAACUAAAUUUAAGAACUUAGCUUCGAAUAUCCACUGAAACUUUUUUAAAAUUUUCAUUUUUACAAAGCGAUCAUAAACCAAUGUAUAAAUAUAAUAAUUCCUAAUUGAUUAUUUUCACACAUUUUCUCAAAGCCAUAAUCGGUGUUUAAAUCGUUGAAAACACAAAAUUAAGCGAACGAGGAGAGUAAGGAAAAGUCUAGGCAAAAAUGAAAAGAAAUUUUUAGAAAAUAAAUAAUGUAACUAGUUAAAACGACAAAAAGGAUAAAAAUUAAAAAAA